rnacentral:rRNA from 1 species
CACGUAGGGCGCAAGCGUUGUCCGGAAUUAUUGGGCGUAAAGAGCUCGUAGGCGGUCUGUUGCGUCCGCUGUGAAAACUCGGGGCUUAACCCCGAGCCUGCGGUGGAUACGGGCAGACUAGAGGUAGGUAGGGGAGAAUGGAAUUCCCGGUGUAGCGGUGAAAUGCGCAGAUAUCGUAAGGAAGACCAGUGGCGAAGGCGGGUCUCUGGACAGUUCCUGACGCUGAGGCACGAAGGCCAGGGGAGCAAACGGG